rnacentral:tRNA from 1 species
GCCGAUGUGGUGAAAUUGGUAGACACGCCAUCUUGAGGGGGUGGUGGACAUAGUCCAUGGCGGUUCGAGUCCGCCCAUCGGCACCA